CCUACGGGAGGCAGCAGUAGGGAAUAUUGCUCAAUGGGGGAAACCCUGAAGCAGCAACGCCGCGUGGAGGAUGAAGGUUUUCGGAUUGUAAACUCCUUUUGUUAGAGAAGAUAAUAAUGGUAUCUAACGAAUAAGCACCGGCUAACUCCGUGCCAGCUGCCGCGGUAAUACGGAGGGUGCAAGCGUUACUCGGAAUCACUGGGCGUAAAGAGGGCGUAGGCGGGGUAGCAAGUCAGAUGUGAAAUCCUAUGGCUUAACCAUAGAACUGCAUUUGAAACUGUUAUUCUAGAGUAUGGGAGAGGUAGGUGGAAUUCUUGGUGUAGGGGUAAAAUCCGUAGAGAUCGAGAGGAAUACUCAUUGCGAAGGCGACCUGCUAGAACCUAACUGACGCUGAGGCGCGAAAGCGUGGGGAGCAAACAGGAUUAGAUACCCGUGUAGUC
rnacentral:rRNA from 1 species